AGGAGUGAAAACCAAGCAGACGGUGGGAGAUGGGCAUGUGGGGAGCAGGGGUGUCCGGGAGCACCCAGGCUUCUGGAUGCACAGUGGGAGGAGGAUGGUAGAGGGGACUUGUGCCUCAAGGACACUAAAGUGACAGCAAGGUGAGAAGAGAGCAGGGCCCACAGUGGCCUGCCCUGCCACCAGGGGCGUGAAAACCUGAGACAUUCAUCCUGUUGGCCUGGCGCCUGCAGCUGGCCCCCUGCCUUGCGUGUCACGGGGGCACUCUGCCUUGAGGGUGGAAUGUUCUGGGAAGGCACUGCCUCGUGUUUGGUUAAAUGACAGGUCAGGCUGAGCCUUGUG
rnacentral:lncRNA from 1 species